rnacentral:rRNA from 1 species
UACGAAGGGAGCUAGCGUUGUUCGGAAUCACUGGGCGUAAAGCGCACGUAGGCGGAUGUGUCAGUCAGGGGUGAAAUCCCGGAGCUCAACUUCGGAACUGCCUUUGAUACAGCACGUCUUGAGUCCGAUAGAGGUGGGUGGAAUUCCUAGUGUAGAGGUGAAAUGCGUAGAGAUCAGGAAGAACACCCGUGGCGCAAGCGACCACCUGGCCGAGACCUGACGCUGAGGCACGAGAGCGUGGGGAGCGAACCGG